GACGAACGCUGGCGGCGUGCUUAACACAUGCAAGUCGAACGAUGAUCUCCCGCUUGCGGGGGUGAUUAGUGGCGAACGGGUGAGUAAUACGUGAGUAACCUGCCCUUGACUCUGGGAUAAGCCUGGGAAACCGGGUCUAAUACUGGAUACUACUUCCUGCCGCAUGGUGGGGGGUGGGAAGGGUUUUACUGGUUUUGGAUGGGCUCACGGCCUAUCAGCUUGUUGGUGGAGUAAUGGCUCACCAAGGCGACGACGGGUAGCCGGCCUGAGAGAGUGAGCGGCGACACUGGGACUGAGACAAGGCCGAGACGGCGAAGGGAGGAAGAAGGGGGGAAGAUUGAACAAGGGGCGGAAGGCGGAUGAAGAGAGGCCGCGUGAGGGAAGACGGACUUCGGGUUGAAAAACUGGUGCAGGAGGGAAGAAGCCAGAAGUGACGGUACCUGCAGAAGAAGCGCCGGCUAACUACGUG
rnacentral:rRNA from 1 species